GGGUUGUGAGGUUAAGCGACUAAGCGUACACGGUGGAUGCCCUGGCAGUCAGAGGCGAUGAAGGACGUGCUAAUCUGCGAUAAGCGUCGGUAAGGUGAUAUGAACCGUUAUAACCGGCGAUUUCCGAAUGGGGAAACCCAGUGUGAUUCGUCACACUAUCAUUAACUGAAUCCAUAGGUUAAUGAGGCGAACCGGGGGAACUGAAACAUCUAAGUACCCCGAGGAAAAGAAAUCAACCGAGAUUCCCCCAGUAGCGGCGAGCGAACGGGGAGCAGCCCAGAGCCUGAAUCAGUGUGUGUGUUAGUGGAAGCGUCUGGAAAGGCGCGCGAUACAGGGUGACAGCCCCGUACACAAAAAUGCACAUACUGUGAGCUCGAUGAGUAGGGCGGGACACGUGGUAUCCUGUCUGAAUAUGGGGGGACCAUCCUCCAAGGCUAAAUACUCCUGACUGACCGAUAGUGAACCAGUACCGUGAGGGAAAGGCGAAAAGAACCCCGGCGAGGGGAGUGAAAAAGAACCUGAAACCGUGUACGUACAAGCAGUGGGAGCACAGAGCAAUCUGUGUGACUGCGUACCUUUUGUAUAAUGGGUCAGCGACUUAUAUUCUGUAGCAAGGUUAACCGAAUAGGGGAGCCGAAGGGAAACCGAGUCUUAACUGGGCGUUAAGUUGCAGGGUAUAGACCCGAAACCCGGUGAUCUAGCCAUGGGCAGGUUGAAGGUUGGGUAACACUAACUGGAGGACCGAACCGACUAAUGUUGAAAAAUUAGCGGAUGACUUGUGGCUGGGGGUGAAAGGCCAAUCAAACCGGGAGAUAGCUGGUUCUCCCCGAAAGCUAUUUAGGUAGCGCCUCGUGAAUUCAUCUCCGGGGGUAGAGCACUGUUUCGGCAAGGGGGUCAUCCCGACUUACCAACCCGAUGCAAACUGCGAAUACCGGAGAAUGUUAUCACGGGAGACACACGGCGGGUGCUAACGUCCGUCGUGAAGAGGGAAACAACCCAGACCGCCAGCUAAGGUCCCAAAGUCAUGGUUAAGUGGGAAACGAUGUGGGAAGGCCCAGACAGCCAGGAUGUUGGCUUAGAAGCAGCCAUCAUUUAAAGAAAGCGUAAUAGCUCACUGGUCGAGUCGGCCUGCGCGGAAGAUGUAACGGGGCUAAACCAUGCACCGAAGCUGCGGCAGCGACACUGUGUGUUGUUGGGUAGGGGAGCGUUCUGUAAGCCUGUGAAGGUGUGCUGUGAGGCAUGCUGGAGGUAUCAGAAGUGCGAAUGCUGACAUAAGUAACGAUAAAGCGGGUGAAAAGCCCGCUCGCCGGAAGACCAAGGGUUCCUGUCCAACGUUAAUCGGGGCAGGGUGAGUCGACCCCUAAGGCGAGGCCGAAAGGCGUAGUCGAUGGGAAACAGGUUAAUAUUCCUGUACUUGGUGUUACUGCGAAGGGGGGACGGAGAAGGCUAUGUUGGCCGGGCGACGGUUGUCCCGGUUUAAGCGUGUAGGCUGGUUUUCCAGGCAAAUCCGGAAAAUCAAGGCUGAGGCGUGAUGACGAGGCACUACGGUGCUGAAGCAACAAAUGCCCUGCUUCCAGGAAAAGCCUCUAAGCAUCAGGUAACAUCAAAUCGUACCCCAAACCGACACAGGUGGUCAGGUAGAGAAUACCAAGGCGCUUGAGAGAACUCGGGUGAAGGAACUAGGCAAAAUGGUGCCGUAACUUCGGGAGAAGGCACGCUGAUAUGUAGGUGAAGUCCCUCGCGGAUGGAGCUGAAAUCAGUCGAAGAUACCAGCUGGCUGCAACUGUUUAUUAAAAACACAGCACUGUGCAAACACGAAAGUGGACGUAUACGGUGUGACGCCUGCCCGGUGCCGGAAGGUUAAUUGAUGGGGUCAGCGCAAGCGAAGCUCUUGAUCGAAGCCCCGGUAAACGGCGGCCGUAACUAUAACGGUCCUAAGGUAGCGAAAUUCCUUGUCGGGUAAGUUCCGACCUGCACGAAUGGCGUAAUGAUGGCCAGGCUGUCUCCACCCGAGACUCAGUGAAAUUGAACUCGCUGUGAAGAUGCAGUGUACCCGCGGCAAGACGGAAAGACCCCGUGAACCUUUACUAUAGCUUGACACUGAACAUUGAGCCUUGAUGUGUAGGAUAGGUGGGAGGCUUUGAAGUGUGGACGCCAGUCUGCAUGGAGCCGACCUUGAAAUACCACCCUUUAAUGUUUGAUGUUCUAACGUGGACCCGUGAUCCGGGUUGCGGACAGUGUCUGGUGGGUAGUUUGACUGGGGCGGUCUCCUCCUAAAGAGUAACGGAGGAGCACGAAGGUUGGCUAAUCCUGGUCGGACAUCAGGAGGUUAGUGCAAUGGCAUAAGCCAGCUUGACUGCGAGCGUGACGGCGCGAGCAGGUGCGAAAGCAGGUCAUAGUGAUCCGGUGGUUCUGAAUGGAAGGGCCAUCGCUCAACGGAUAAAAGGUACUCCGGGGAUAACAGGCUGAUACCGCCCAAGAGUUCAUAUCGACGGCGGUGUUUGGCACCUCGAUGUCGGCUCAUCACAUCCUGGGGCUGAAGUAGGUCCCAAGGGUAUGGCUGUUCGCCAUUUAAAGUGGUACGCGAGCUGGGUUUAGAACGUCGUGAGACAGUUCGGUCCCUAUCUGCCGUGGGCGCUGGAGAACUGAGGGGGGCUGCUCCUAGUACGAGAGGACCGGAGUGGACGCAUCACUGGUGUUCGGGUUGUCAUGCCAAUGGCACUGCCCGGUAGCUAAAUGCGGAAGAGAUAAGUGCUGAAAGCAUCUAAGCACGAAACUUGCCCCGAGAUGAGUUCUCCCUGACUCCUUGAGAGUCCUGAAGGAACGUUGAAGACGACGACGUUGAUAGGCCGGGUGUGUAAGCGCAGCGAUGCGUUGAGCUAACCGGUACUAAUGAACCGUGAGGCUUAACCUUACAACGCCGAAGGUGUUU
rnacentral:rRNA from 1 species